rnacentral:rRNA from 1 species
GAUGAACGCUGGCGGCGUGCUUAACACAUGCAAGUCGAACGAGAAAUGUAGACGGAAACCUUCGGGCGGAAGCCUUCAUUUCGAGUGGCGGACGGGUGAGUAACGCGUGGGUAACCUGCCUCAUACAGGGGGAUAACAGUUGGAAACGACUGUUAAUACCGCAUAAGACCACAGCAUCGCAUGAUGCGGGGGUAAAACUCCGGUGGUAUGAGAUGGACCCGCGUUCGAUUAGCCAGUUGGCGGGGUAACGGCCCACCAAAGCGACGAUCGAUAGCCGAUCUGAGAGGAUGACCGGCCACAUUGGGACUGAGACACGGCCCAAACUCCUACGGGAGGCAGCAGUGGGGAAUAUUGCACAAUGGGGGAAACCCUGAUGCAGCGACGCCGCGUGAGUGAAGAAGUACUUCGGUAUGUAAAGCUCUACCAGCAGGGAAGAAAAUGACGGUACCUGAGUAAGAAGCCCCGGCUAACUACGUG